rnacentral:rRNA from 1 species
UACGAAGGGUGCAAGCGUUAAUCGGAAUUACUGGGCGUAAAGCGCGCGUAGGUGGUUCAGUAAGUUGGAUGUGAAAAUCCCCCGGGCUCAACCUGGGAACUGCAUCCAAAAACUACUGAGCUAGAGUACGGUAGAGGGUGGUGGAAUUUUCCUGUGUAGCGGUGAAAAUGCGUAGAUAUAGGAAGGAAACACCAGUGGCGAAGGCGACCACCUGGACUGAUACUGACACUGAGGUGCGAAAAGCGUGGGGAGCAAACAGG